UCUCUCUCAACAUUCCUACUUUCAUUCUCAAAUUGAAAAUCCCUAAUUGAGAAUGGAAUUCCGUCUCCAUUCCUCUCCUCUCUCUCCGGCAAAUUCAGUGUCGCCUCUUUCCAAUCGCCGGCGCUCCGUCGCCAGCGUCGCAGUGCCUCCUCGCCGGCUCCUUUCCCCCACCCAUUCAUUCUCAAAUUCAAACUUAAAUCCCAAAAUGUAGUGAGGGAUCAGCGGCGCCUCCACUCUUCUUUUCUCACUCCCUCGUCGGAUCUGUCACGAUCGAGCUCUCCCUCUCUUUCCUCCGAUUUCGCGGCCCACGGCACCACCACCAGCCGCCAUCUUCUUCGCAAGGCAUCGCCGCCGUAGCAGCUCCACCAUCACCGCCUCUCUCGCGGUGUCAGGUUGGGGACCGGCGAGUAGCAUUGCCGGCUUCUCCCAUUCCCUCACAACGUCGGUCCCUUCGAGCUGCUUGGGGUCGGUCACCGUCGAAGCUGCCGUAUCAGUGCCCCAUCUGUCGGGCUCGUCUGCCACCUCUAGCGGUGUGCUGUGUAGCUGCUGCCCGGUUGGGGUCGCUGUUGUACUAUGGAGUCCACGCGGCUGCCCUCGUGGCCUCGCCGUCGCCGGUGGUCUCCGAGGCAGCCCCUCGUCCUUAAAGCUAAGUUCUUUUACUCCUUUUCAUUACUUAGUUUGAUUGAUUAUGAACUUUGGGCAGUAGCUAGGUGAUGUUGAAGGUCUUGACUAUAAUGUGCUAAAGCUUUGAUCUUUCCUUGGGCCGUAGUCAUGAUAAAUCGUUACUGAUCUUGGGCAAAAAGCAACUUGUGAUAUUUUUUGUUCUAAAUCAUGUGAUGUGGAAAUCCUAAAGCUCUAAGUUCUUGAGCAUGGGGUUCUAAUAUGAUGCAGAGGUUGGUUUUGUGGGGAUUACCUUGCUCGGUGAUUACUUUCGGUUGCGGGGCUGCUCCUAUCUCGCUGUCUCUCCUUCCUCCCUUGUUGCUCCUUUGUUCCUCGAACCUUUGGGAGUCGAAAAGUGGGAGGAGGGUGGUGAUGGGUGGUAUUUAUAGCCGAGUCCUUGGCUAGUGAGGGCUGAUCCUUAGGAGCUGGAUUCUCCAAAUCCAGUUAGGGGUUGCCUCCCCUUUCAUAUUUUCUUAAUAGGCUUCCAUACCUAUAUUGGUGAAAUUUUUAGGAGAGUGGCCCAUGGCUGAUCUCACUCUCUAUUUUGUUACUGAUGGAGGGAUUUGUUUCCCCUUUUUGAUCUCUUGAUGAGCUCAUCUCUCUUAUGCCACUUUGUUUCUUCCUAAGCUUGGAGGAGGACAACUCAUGCCAUCUAUAGGAGACUACAAAUUGACCCCUUGGCAUGGAGUGGGGAUUAAGAAUCGAGAUAUGUGUAGAAGGAGUCUCAAGGAAGAUUUGAGGAUCUUAUAGUUGUCUCUUUGUCUCACUUUGGUUUGAUGAUGUAGAGUGACCUUUGUAAAGAAGUUGUACUAUUUCCAUUUAAUCCUCACAUAGGACAAGUAUCCUACUACUUGUGUAAGGUAGACUUGCACCUUUGUGCAUUUGGCUUCCACAUUUCCUGUUUGGUGAAAUGUAGCUUCUAAAUUUCAUACACAAAAGUAGCAUGUACUCCCAUCUUCACAUAUUCUCAUGUAUAUGUAUUGUAGUACUUUCUGAAGGUGACAAACAUUGUACAUAUAUUUUUAGUAUUUUCCUUGAAAUUCUUUGCUA